AACGAACGCUGGCGGCACGCCUAACACAUGCAAGUCGAACGAGACCUUCGGGUCUAGUGGCGCACGGGUGCGUAACGCGUGGGAACCUGCCCUUAGGUUCGGAAUAACUCCCCGAAAGGGGUGCUAAUACCGGAUAAUGUCUUCGGACCAAAGAUUUAUCGCCUUUGGAUGGGCCCGCGUUGGAUUAGCUAGUUGGUAGGGUAAAAGCCUACCAAGGCGACGAUCCAUAGCUGGUCUGAGAGGAUGAUCAGCCACACUGGGACUGAGACACGGCCCAGACUCCUACGGGAGGAAGCAGUGGGGAAUAUUGGACAAUGGGCGAAAGCCUGAUCCAGCAAUGCCGCGUGAGUGAUGAAGGCCUUAGGGUUGUAAAGCUCUUUUACCCGGGAUGAUAAUGACAGUACCGGGAGAAUAAGCUCCGGCUAACUCCGUG
rnacentral:rRNA from 1 species